UCCUGCUCCAGGCUUUGGCCAGUGGAAAUGUCACAAAAAUGAGUCUCCUGCCUUGACUUUAAAAGGACAAGGUCCCUUGAGGCACUCCAAGAUGUUUUCUACCAAAGGUAAUGUGGAGGAUCCUUUCACUGAAAGUAAAGAUGGAGUCUCACUCUCGUCG